rnacentral:lncRNA from 1 species
CAAAGAAGGAGACACAGAGAGACAGCAGAAAACAGAAGCAGAGACUGGAGCAAUUCGACGGUAAGCACAAGCCAGGUUUGCCAGAGCCCCCAGAAGCCAGAGGACGCGGAAGGAUCCUCUCCUGUAGCGCCCAGGGGAGCACAGCUCUGCAGACAGCUUGGUUUAGUACUUCUGCCCUCCAGAACCGUGAGAGGACACACGUCUGCGGAUUGAUACUUCCGGGUCUGUGGUCACCUGUUAUGGCAGCCACAAGAGGCUCGUCUGCCCCUUUUCUCUCCCCUUCCUUCAUGCUGAUCACCACGGAGGACAACCCUGGACUGCAGGGGUGGUGAUCACCCCCCAUUUUACCAAACAGAAGCAGAGAGUGACCGCGGGUGCCCACCUGACCCCGUGUCUCCAGCGGGAACGUGAAGCUGAUGCUGCUCCCGCCCCAGGCCUGAAGCCGGCCCCCUGCCCCAAACCAGCCUGACCAGCGGCACCGUGGAAACCCACCGGGAUCUCUGCCACCCACAGGAGGCUGGGGCAUCUCUCACCCCCUCUGUGCCUCAGUUUCCUAAUCUGUCACACAGGGAGGCUGGACCCAAACCAAUUGAUUGUUGUCAUGGGUGGAGCCGGAACCCGCUAUGGCUCCCUCCUGCCCUCGGGAUAAAAUGCAGCCUCUGCCGUGCGGCCUCCUCACUCCCUCCCUCUCACCUUUUCAAGGUCCUGGAACCAUCUCUGCACCUGUAUCCCCCACCCCACCUGUCACCUUCAGGGCACUAGCAACACUCAACUCAUGUCACUUCCUCCAGGAAGCCCUCCCUGAAUUCCCGAACAAAGCUCCUGGUGUGGGCACCUGCUUUCACUCUUGGGCGGUGUUGUCUUCAUCGGUUCACUCAAUCAGGGUCUCAACUGGGGUAAUUCUGUCCCCUCAGGGGACACUGGGCGGUGUCGGGGGACAUCUGUAAUUGUCAUGACGGAGGGAAGUGGGACCUUCCCUGACUAAUAUUCCCUCACAUCGGUCCAUGCUCCUGGCAUGGAGUGGGUGGAGGCCAGGGAUGCUGCUCAGCACCCUGCAGUGCCCAGGACGGCCUCACCCCAGAGAACAGUCCAGUGUCAGUGUCCACAGUGCCCAGGGGGAGAGACCUGCUUUAAUUAUUUGGGAAUAAACUGAGUGUCCUCCCUACUCACACCAGACACUGGAAUAAACUCCAGAUGGAGCAGACGGCAUAAACCCGGGAGCCCCAGCUCCUGGGACUCAUCUCCUCUCUCUCUUCCCACUCAGGUGUGGAUUUCAAUGUGUGCAGCCUCCUGGGACCUCCGCAGGGCAGAGGAUCAUGGGAUGCAGAAUCUCUUGGGUAAACAUCUGGUGAAGACUUGGACCAGAUCCCUGAUCUUAAUGAAGGAGGUGACGGUCCGGCCCAGGUGACAGGCACAGUUAAUGUGAUGAUCACAACACAGUUGCCAUGUGACCCUGGGCACGUCAGCCCCUCUCAGCUACUGUUUUCUCCUAUGUGAAGUGGAGAUCAUUAUCUCAAUCUCAACAUGGCAAACAACACGGCAAGUGUAUGAGUCAGCUACUGCUGAGUAACAACAGCGGCAACAAAGACACCAUUUGCCAUCUCACAACUUCUGUGUGUCAAGAGUCUGGCUUAACUGGGUCCCCCGCUCAGAGUCUUAUAAGCCUAAAAUCAAGGUAUGGGCUGGGCCGAGUUGUCAUCUGGAAUUUGGGGUCCUCUUCUGAGCUAGUUUGGUUAUCGGCAGAAUUCAUUUCCUUGCAGCUCUAGGAAUGAGGUCCCUGUUUACCUACUGGCUGUUGGAUGUGAGUGCUCUGAGCCCCUAGAGGCUACUCUCAGGUGUCUGCCACAUGGACCCUCCACAGGCAGCUCACGACAUAGCUGUUUGCUUUCUUUAAGGCAAGAAACCCCUUCCCUUUCUCUCUUUCUUUCAACUGUGGUGUGUGUGUGUGUGUGUAUAUAUAUAUAUAACAUAAGACGGAUCAUCUUAACCACGUUUAUGUGUACGGUUCAGUGAUGUUAAGUAUACUCACACUGCUGUGCAAUGGCUCUCCAGAACCUUCCAUCUUGUAAAACUGAGACACUGUAUCCACUGAACAACAGCUCCCCUCUUCCCUCCCCCAGCCCCUAGCACCCACCAUUCUCCCUUCUGUCUCUCUGAAUUUGACACCUCGGGAUGUGCUUCUGGUCUCUUUUAUGGGCUCACCUGAUGAGGUCAGGCCCACCCAGGAUGUCUCCUUUUUGAUGAGCUCAGGUCAACUGACUAGGAAUCUUCGUCGCAUCUGCAAAAUCCCUUUACCGAACACACGACCUAACUGCAUUAACCUAACCACUGGAGUGACACCCCAUCGUAUUCGCAGGUCCAGCCCAUCCUCAAGUGCAGGGGAUUAGAUAAGAUGUGGGCACCAGGCGGUGGGGGUCUUGGGCGCCAUCUUGGAAUUCUGCCUAGGACUGUAGCUGUAAAAGACAUGGUGGCCAUUGCUGCUGUAGGUGCCAUUAGUAGGAAACACACACAAAGUGGCCCCCAAGGAGCACGUACUAUGCAUCAGGCUCUGUGCAAGGCACAGAGAAAACAGCAAAGAACUUUGGGGAAAGUUGAAGACUUGAGGUGAACAACUGGAUAUCUUAGUAGGUCUCUCUGAAGGUUGAGCAAAUGGAUAGGGGAUAUUGGGAGAUGGGUUAUGUCCCUUGGAAAGAACUCCAAAUGUCCCUUUCAAUAACUUUCCACUCUACCAGUCAUCUCCUCCUUCCAGAAAUUCUCAGGAGGCAGCGCUUGGUGGCUCUUCUGCAGAUGCCAGGAUGGUGACGGUGACAGCAGGCCACGCUCUUGUGUUUAGAAUAGGAGGUCCCCAAGGACACAGAGUCACAGACGGGUCAGCCGACUGACCCUAGAAGUGCCAUUUCUGAAAGAGGAAGAGAGAAAAGGGGUGAAAGGACGUUGAACCAGCCAAGGCAGACUACAGCAUUUUCAGGGCGUCUCCCCAAGAUCUCCAAUAAGGACAACUAGCAUCGACUAGGCUAAUCCCGUGACGGCCUGUUCUGCGGGGACAUCAUCACCCUGGUGCUGCCCUCUCCCCCAUUCUCUAGAGAAAGGAGCCCCAAAAGAACAGAUAAACUCUGCCUCCUAGAAAGGGAAGUCUCUCACCGUCAGCACUGUGGACAUCGGGACUGGAUCCAUCUCUGGGGUGAGGCUGCCCUGGCACUGCAGGGUGCUGAGCAGAGUCCCUGGCCUCCACCCACUCCCUGCCAGGAGCACCCCUUAGUUACACUGAGCUAUGAUCGCACCACUGCACUCGCACCUGGG